rnacentral:tRNA from 1 species
GGAAAGGUGCUCGAGUGGUUGAAGAGGCACGCCUGGAAAGCGUGUAUACGACAAAAUUGUAUCGGGGGUUCGAAUCCCCCUCUUUCCG